GGCGGCCUGAGGGGACGGCGGCGUCCCGCUCGGGCUUCUGACCCGCUCGGGCUUGUCCCCGCCUCGGAUUUGUGUCCCGCCUCGGGUUUGUCCCCCCUCUUUUGUCGUGUUCCACCAAUGCGUGAAGGCAGCUUCGCUUGGAAACCAAGUCUACUCAGCUUCACAAAUCAGAGAUGUAUGGAGACUGAAGUAAUUGGGAAGAGGAUCUCACAUGUCCCCCCGUCAGCAGCUAUCUUCACUGUUCACUAAGAGCAGCAGCUGAAUCAAACCCUUGAUACACCUGCACUUUGUGGCACAAGUUGAUUUUGAGAGCAGAUUAAAGUCACAGGGAGUUCUGCACCUUCACUGCCACACAAAUGGCAGGAGAACUCGAUGUAAGGACUGAGCUCACGCUGUCACAGGGCUUGGAUCAAGGAUGUCACCAAGAUUUUCCCAUCCUGAGCUGCGACUGAAUGAACCAAGCCCAGGCUUCAAAUUGAAAUUGCUACCAAAGAGCAAAAGCCUUCCACAUGCUUUGGUGAGUUACACUUUGGUGUUUUGCCACAGCAGAAAUGGAGCUCACUGGCCUUGGGAGCUACAGUAAGCACAGAGCAGAUGGAGGGUACAGCGGCUUUGCUUCCCCUAGGAGACCUUGGUUGAGUGUCCAACAAUCCUCUGGAAAGUAAAUAUUUCCAGUGAAACUGUUCUUGACAAAAAUAGUGAAUUAGGAAAACAUGUGAUACAAACCCACACAUAUUCAAAGCACUUUGGUAUUAGCAUGCAAUUCAGCAGGGCUUAAUCCUCAAGCCUGAUGGGAAUUGCAAAACACAAAAGCAGAGAAUCCUUUACAAAUUAGGCAUAAUAAUUCAUAAUCUCAGCCUUUCAUUAUUAUGUCUGUAACUAGGUCAGAAAUGACUACCCUAACAUAUACAGUGGGACAGGCUGGAAAUCUCCUUUCAGUACAGUAGAUGAUCUCAUC